rnacentral:rRNA from 1 species
UACGUAGGGUGCAAGCGUUGUCCGGAAUUAUUGGGCGUAAAGAGCUCGUAGGCGGUUUGUCGCGUCGAAUGUGAAAACCCGGGGCUCAACCCCGGGCCUGCAUUCGAUACGGGCAGACUAGAGUUCGGUAGGGGAGUCUGGAAUUCCUGGUGUAGCGGUGAAAUGCGCAGAUAUCAGGAGGAACACCGGAGGCGAAGGCGGGACUCUGGGCCGAUACUGACGCUGAGGAGCGAAAGCGUGGGGAGCGAACAGG